rnacentral:rRNA from 1 species
GAUGCAUCAUCGUGAGAGAUCAAAAUGUCUCACACAGAUAGAUUUAGAUGACUGCCGUCGCAUAAACUGUACAUUGGUGAACAGUCCGGUGAAUGGUGGACCGGUAUUGGAUAUUUGGUNAUGGACGCCCGGGGUUUCUAAUUAAGGAGAAGCCCAGGUCAACCGGGGGGUCUUGGUACUUGGACUAUUGUGCUAAAUAGAAAACGGGUUUCCCCUGCUUGGAGAAUGUUUGAUUUAGGGAAGACCCCCUUGCCAAGGGGUUUUUCUGGUUGUAACUUAUAGUGAGACCGCGAAUAUUGGGGGAAUAAACGGGAUUAGUUUCCCCUGGAUUCCACCCACUUAACACAUGGACUGUAAGUGGUGGAAGGGUUUACGGCCCUUAGUUUGGAGUUACCCAUUUAAGCCACACCCCCUGUGGCAGUACGGACCGCAGGCUGGAAACUAAAAGGAAUGUACGCGGGGCCCGCACAAGCCGGUGGAAGCAAUGUGGUUUAUUAGGAGGCAAGGCGAAGAAACUUACCAGUUCUUGUCAUCCUUCUGACCAACCCUAGAGAUAGGUCUUUUCCUUCAGGAGCAGAGUNACAGUUGGUGCAUGGUUGUCGUCAGCUCGGUUCGUGAGAUGUUGGUUAAGUCCCGCAACGAGCGCAACCCUAGAUCUUUAGUGGCCAUCAUUAAGUUGGGCACUCUAAGGUUACUCCCGGUGACAAACCGGGAGCAAAGGUGGGGGAUGACGUUCAAAUCAUCAUGCCCCCUUAUGACCUGGGCUACACAUCGUGCUACAAUUGACGGUUACCAAAGAGCAGCAAAGACCCGCGAGGUGGAGCUAAUUUCAUAAAAAACGCGUUACUUCCAAGUUCGGGAUUGUAGGUCUGUCAUUCUUCGGCCCAAUCAUGAAAUCCUGAAAUCGUUUAUGUCAGACAUCCAACUUGCU